rnacentral:rRNA from 1 species
UCACGUGAGCUGACUGUCAAGAAAAGCCGCUAUUGUUUGCAGGAUACCCGUACCGUAAACCGACACAGGUGGAUGAGGAGAGAAUCCUAAGGCCGACGGGAGAAGCAUUGUUAAGGAACUCGGCAAAAUGACUCCGUAACUUCGGGAGAAGGAGUGCCAGUAAGAUGGCCGCAGAGAAUUGGCCCAAGCAACUGUUUAGCAAAAACACAGGUCUAUGCAAAACCGAAAGGUGAGGUAUAUGGGCUGACGCCUGCCCGGUGCUGGAAGGUUAAGGGGAGAGGUUAGCGCAAGCGAAGCUUUGAACUUAAGCCCCAGUAAACGGCGGCCGUAACGAUAACGGUCCUAAGGUAGCGAAAUUCCUUGUCGGGUAAGUUCCGACCCGCACGAAAGGCGUAAUGAUUUGGGCACUGUCUCAACAAUGCACCCGGUGAAAUUGAAAUACCAGUGAAGAUGCUGGUUACCUGCGCCAGGACGGAAAGACCCCAUGGAGCUUUACUCCAGCUUGAUACUGGGAUUCGGUAUUGCAUGUACAGGAUAGGUGGGAGGCUAGGAAAUGGUAACGCCAGUUGCCAUGGAGCCAAUGUUGGGAUACCACCCUUGCAGUACUGGGUUUCUAACCAGCAGCCGUGAUCCGGCUGGGGGACAAUGUCAGGUGGGGAGUUUGACUGGGGCGGUCGCCUCCGAAAGGGUAUCGGAGGCGCUCAAAGGUUCCCUCAGAAUGGUUGGAAACCAUUCGAAGAGUGCAAAGGCAGAAGGGAGCUUGACUGCGACACCGACGGGUGGAGCAGGUACGAAAGUAGGACUUAGUGAUCCGGUGGUAUAAAGUGGGAUUGCCAUCGCUCAACGGAUAAAAGCUACCCUGGGAUAACAGGCUUAUCACUCCCAAGAGUUCACAUCGACGGAGUGGUUUGGCACCUCGAUGUCGGCUCAUCGCAUCCUGGGGCUGAAGUAGGUCCCAAGGGUUGGGCUGUUCGCCCAUUAAAGCGGUACGCGAGCUGGGUUCAGAACGUCGUGAGACAGUUCGGUCCCUAUCCGGCGUGGGCGUAAGAUAUUUGAGAGGAGCUGUCCUUAGUACGAGAGGACCGGGAUGGACUGGCCGCUGGUGUAUCUGUUGUCUUACCAUAGGCAUAGCAGAGUAGCCAAGCCGGGAAGGGAUAAACGCUGAAGGCAUCUAAGCGUGAAGCCCCCCUCAAGAUGAGAUAUCUCAUAACGUCAAGUUAGUAAGACCCCUUGAAGACGACGAGGUAGAUAGGGCAGAGGUGGAAGUGUGGUAACACAUGGAGCUGACUGUUACUAAUAGGUCGAGGGCAUAACCAG